UACGGGGGGGGCAAGCGUUGUUCGGAAUUACUGGGCGUAAAGCGCACGUAGGCGGAUUUUUAAGUCAGGGGUGAAAUCCCGGGGCUCAACCUCGGAACUGCCUUUGAUACUGCAAGUCUCGAGUCCGAUAGAGGUGGGUGGAAUUCCUAGUGUAGAGGUGAAAUUCGUAGAUAUUAGGAAGAACACCGGUGGCGAAGGCGGCCCACUGGAUCGGUACUGACGCUGAGGUGCGAAAGCGUGGGGAGCAAACAGG
rnacentral:rRNA from 1 species